UAACCACUCAAGCUCUCGCUUGGUAUUGGGGUUCGCGGUUUCGCGGCCCCUAAAAUCAGUGGCGGUGCCUAUCGGCUUUACGCGUAGUAAUACUCCUCGCGAUUGAGUCCCGGUAGGUCUACUUGCCAGCAACCCUAAUUUUUUAA
rnacentral:misc_RNA from 1 species